UCGGGUGUGGGGAAGUUAAAUAGAGAAGCCUUUGGGGUCGAAACAUGGCAAGACUCCCAAGGGCUUUUCCCUUUU
rnacentral:sRNA from 1 species